AAUCCUGAAUAAUUAAAUUAAACUAAUCGAUAAGAAUUAACGAACGAAAAAAAAAAAAAAUUGAUAAAUGAAUGACCUCAGAAGUUCAUCUCGUAUCGAAAAAUCACGAUUAAAAUUCGAGUAUUAAAUUAAACACGAAUAUAUCCACAUCAAUCCUCCUAGAUACGUUUAUUCCACGAAUAUCCCCCAUCAACGCUCGAAGUAUAAUCGAAAAUUAGAAAAAUCGUCGCAUUCUCCCUCGCCAAAAAAAAAGAAAAGAAAAGAAAAAAAACCUCUCAGCGUGUCGUUUCACACGCGCCUAUUUUUCCACCGCCCAUUCUUUUCUCACUUCACAGUAAACCCGCGCUUAAACGUCUCGCCGAGCAAUAUGUCGAGGCGAGGCGUGGGGCGGACAGCUGUGCACGCGGGCGAUUUGAAAAAAAGCACUUCGCACAAAAGGCGAAGAAACAGCGAAGCGAGAACAAUGUGUGAGAGAGAGAGAGAGAGAGAGAGAGAGAGAGGCGGUGGGUUAGAGGAGAUCGGCAAGGUCAAUGGCGAGCAUCUCGCGCGCCAUCUCUUUUUAAUGCGGCGCGCGUGCUACGCGAUUAGCCGUUCGCUUCUGUUCGCUCGUGGCCCACUGUGCUCGUUCCACUCCAUGGACGGAGUGGGGAGAAGAGGAGUGGAGAGGAAGAGGGAAAGGUGAAUAGAGAUAAGAAGAGUGGGGCGAUGGAACAACGGUCGACGAACAGCCGCUCGAAUUCAGUACUUCACCGUGUUUCCCCAUUUCAAUUCGGCUAGAUUAGGAAAAAAGUUUAAACCGAAGUGCUUCUCCGUUUAACUCGUAUCCCCUCUCUGUGUCGUUUUUUCCUAGAAUAGAUGAAAGAUUUUGAUUGGGAUUUGGAAAAAAUCUGGUAUAAAGUGUUUUUCUGGUUCGAAGAGAAGAGAAGUGUGUCGAAAGGUGAUGAAAAAUAUCGAUAGGUUACCACCGAUGUGGAGUUAUUUUUAUAUUUAGAUAAUUCUAAUUUUAAUUGAUAUUUGAGUAUUGGGAAAGGUAUACUUUAAACUGGUAUUUCAAUGAUGGAUAGAGGGCGUGUUAAAAGUGUGAAUAUGGAAUACGUGCAAUGCUGAAUAUUAAUCGAUUCUGUUUUUAAAACGUUUCCCGAUUUUUAUCGGGAUUUGAGAUUUUGGAAGCUAUUAUAAAAUAUACUCGUUUUCGCUUUGCUUCGAACGUAGAAGCGCGAAUGUGGAAUUAGAAUGAAGAGUGGCGGAAAUAGUGCCGUUCGAAUCCUGUUUUCGCAUUUUUCCCGAUUUUAAUUAGAAUUACUCGCUUAACUCGUUUCUGUGCGUGCUUCGAAAAAGGUGUACAAACGUGAAAUGUGUUCAAAACAGUGAAUGUAGAAUAUGUAAAAUUAGAAUUAAAAAAUAA